rnacentral:tRNA from 1 species
GGCUGGCUGGCUCAGUCGGUAGAGCAUGUGACUCUUGAUCUCAGGAUUGUGAGUUCAAGUCCCAUGUUGGCUG